UACGGGGGGGGCAAGCGUUGUUCGGAAUUACUGGGCGUAAAGGGCGCGUAGGCGGCCGCCUAAGUCAGACGUGAAAUCCCUCGGCUCAACCGGGGAACUGCGUCUGAUACUGGGUGGCUUGAAUUCGGGAGAGGGAUGCGGAAUUCCAGGUGUAGCGGUGAAAUGCGUAGAUAUCGGGAGGAACACCAGUGGCGAAGGCGGCUACCUGGCCCAUUCUUGACGCUGAGGCGCGAAAGCUAGGGAGCAAACGGG
rnacentral:rRNA from 1 species